rnacentral:rRNA from 1 species
AUUGAACGCUGGCGGCAGGCCUAACACAUGCAAGUCGAGCGGAUGAAGGGAGCUUGCUCCUGGAUUCAGCGGCGGACGGGUGAGUAAUGCCUAGGAAUCUGCCUGGUAGUGGGGGAUAACGUCUGGAAACGGGCGCUAAUACCGCCUACGUCCUGAGGGAGAAAGUGGGGGAUCUUCGGACCUCACGCUAUCAGAUGAGCCUAGGUCGGAUUAGCUAGUUGGUGGGGUUAAGGCCUACUUAGGAGACGAUCCGUAACUGGACUGUGAGGAUGGUCAGUCACACUAGAACGGAGACACGGUCCAGGCUCCUACGGGAGGCAGCAGUGGGGAAUAUUGGACAAUAGGCGAAAAUCUGAUCCAGCCAUGCCGCGUGUGUUAAGAAGGUCUUGGGAGUGUAAAGCACGUUAAGUUGUGAGGAAGGGCAGUAAGUUAAUACCUUGCUGUUGUGACGUUACCAACAGAAGAAGCACCGGCUAACUUCGUG